AUCAGCCACGGAACGGGCUGGGCAGCUUCUUUCCUCUUCCUUUUUGAAAUCCGAAAUCACCAUGGAGCGUCUGCGGUAUCCACCAGGGGCAAUCCUGACUGCUAAGAACUUAGUUUCCAAAUGGCAAUAGGAUCAUUUUCCCCAAACCGGAUAGCACUUUCUUUUCCAGGGCAACUCUUUGGAAUCCUGAAAGCAGAUUUUACCAUCCCAGCUCUGAUGGACCCAAAAGAUAUGAAAGACCAAUUUUUGAGUGAGAUCCAAGAAGUCUUAAAGCUUACAUUAGGUCAUGGGCAAUUCAGAUUGAAAUGGGUUGGCUUCCAAGCAAACAAGAAAGAGCCCACGUCGACUGAUCUGGAGUCUCCUUCUCACACAAUCUUCUCUGGAUUUUGAGUGAAUUUUAGUCUUUUCAUUCCUGUACAUUAGACUACACAUUUGUUCCAGGCUUUUAGAAAUAACUCCAGCUAUAUGAAGGGCUGACUGGUAGGAUUUCAGACCUGUACCUCACACACAAGAAUAUUAUGUAAGAGAAGAAAAAUGGCCUUCCUGGAUUUUAUAGAAAUAGGUAAGCAGAAGCAGAUGGAAGAAUUUGGGGACAGUAACCUGGAGAAUGACAAGCAAACAAGAACACAAAACCCCAACGAAGCAACAAAAAUCCUGACCCAAACCCCAUUAAUUAAUCUACCUAGGGAAUUAAGGGAGGACAGUAGUGGGCUGGCUGGGAAGCUAAGUGGGGCCACGCUUCCAAAUGACGUGGAGGACACUUUCCUUCCGAGCGAUGAGCUAUUAAAGAGAUUGCAAGUUCUUCAGAAUGAGGAGCUCUCUAAGGGCAUCAUCACAAUAUAACAUAUUAAUGCGAGCUGUCUGUCCUACUGCACGUAAAUAUUUUUUACUUGUCAAUUGGGAAAUUCUCUGACACAUUGUUCUCAAUGUUAAACUAUUAACUUCAGAAAAAAAAAUAUAACCUCAGAAGAAUGUUCCUGCAUACAUUUCCUUUCUGGUUUUUCUCCAAGUGUUCUACUCACCCAGAUACAUGCUAGCAAUAAGGUAGUAAAUAUGUCAAAUACAUUAGCAACUUUAGUCUGAAAUGUUUAAAGUUAAAGUUUAUUUGUAUUCUUUGUAGGAAUAUCAAUAAAAGACCUCAAACGUAUCUGUAUCUCUACAUGUACAAGAACCAUCAAAAAUUAUUCACAGAACAAAAAUAAAUCUUCUUUAGAACAAACCCAGGUAAUGAAAUGCAGAUAUGGAUCUCAUGUAUGGAACGAUCUAAGUGCUACCAGCACAAAAAUAUGGCUUUAAAAAUAAAAUAAAAUCUUGGGUUUU